UGCCAGACUCCUACGGGAGGCAGCAGUGGGGGAUAUUGCACAAUGGGGGGAACCCUGAUGCAGCGACGCCGCGUGGGUGAAGGAGUGCUUCGGCAUGUAAAGCCCUAUCGGCAGGGAAGAAGCAAGACGGUACCUGACUAAGAAGCCCCGGCUAACUACGUGCCAGCAGCCGCGGUAAUACGUAGGGAGCAAGCGUUGUCCGGAUUUACUGGGUGUAAAGGGUGCGUAGGCGGCUUUGCAAGUCAGAAGUGAAAUCCGUGGGCUUAACCCAUGAACUGCUUUUGAAACUGCAGAGCUUGAGUGGAGUAGAGGUAGGCGGAAUUCCCGGUGUAGCGGUGAAAUGCGUAGAGAUCGGGAGGAACACCAGUGGCGAAGGCGGCCUACUGGGCUCUAACUGACGCUGAGGCACGAAGGCGUGGGUAGCAACCAGGAUUAGAUACCCUUGUAGA
rnacentral:rRNA from 1 species